AUGGCCGUAUUUACAUCAGCGCAGGUUACAGUUGACUGUAAUUCGUGAGAUAUUCGUUUAAAAUAGGAAAUAUUGGGUAUUUUCGUCUUGAAUAAACCAGCAAUGCUGUGCUUUUAGUUGUACUUACGAAGAGAAGAAGAGAGGGAAGCAGCAAGAAGAAUAAUACGGCUGAUGAACAUCUGCAGAGCAAACUGGCAGAAUGCAAAAGCAACUGCGUUGUUAAAGGCGAAAAGGGAGGAGAACUGUACAGGAUUCCUUCGGAAGGGAGAGAUGCGACAAGGAGGAGAAUAUGGCUGAUGAAACUCAGCAGAACCAACUGGCAACCCACAAGAGACUCUAGCUGGUGUGCAGUAAUAAGCACAACCAGUUUGAGGACAACAGAGCUGAUGGAGUGGAAAAACUUAAACCAAAUGCUGUGCCAACCAUAUUCUGUUACCGUAAGCCACCAGUGGUACGUGAAGCUACUGCUGAGGGGAAACUUGUUGGCCUACUAGAGAAACGCACUGAGGGUACAGGUUGGAGAGCCUUCAAAUGUGACCAAUGGCAUCAGUCCUGCAGAGAACUUGGAACCAAUAGAAGAUGAAGUCACCACCCUGAAGAACCGAGUAAAACAGCUUCAUGCUGAAAUUGAAGUUUUAAACUGAAAACUCUUCUUUUGUUCCUUUUACUAAAGACAACCUCCUUGCCAUUGUGCACGGUUUAUUUGGCGCAGAUCAGUUUGCAAUAUUAACAAAGGGGAAACGGUGCAGGAAGGGCUGAAAAUUAGACUAGCUUGUGGUGGUAUAGGGUACAAAGUCCUGCUGGAAAAUAAACUUCCAUUUCCUUCAGACAGAACCGUGAGAUGUUCGCUACAGAAUGUAAAAUUUAGGCCUGUUGUGCUGAGGGAGCUCAUAAGUUCGCUGAAAGUCAAGCUCGGGCACAUGUUACCAGGGGAGAAACAUCGUGUUCUCGUGAUGGAUGAGUUUGGUAUCACUCCAUCAUUCGAAUAUGAUUGAAGCAAUGGCUGCAUCAUUGGUAAUGAUACGACACACCUCCAUGAAAUCUUGCCCUUGCAACAACUACAGCUUCUCGUGCAUUAGUUUUUAUGCUGGGUCUACCUCAAGGUGGAAACAAAUAAUAGAUUACCAUUACAAAGGGCCAUCUUUUCCCAGUUCUCAUGUCAGUGCUUUAACCACAGCUUGGUUUGUAAAGCACGUUCGUAAGUGGUCUUGCCUCCUGACAUCUAGAGCUCCAGUUAUGCCACUGAGUCGUUCUGAUGAACAAACGUACAGUGAGGUUCUCUGCCAUCUUUAGGACACUCUGUGAUUAUUUGAAAACUUGGAAAUUGGCCUGAAGAGUGCCUGGAAACCAAUUCAGUCUGGCGUAGUUUUAAUAACUGCCAGUAUUUUCGAAUUUUAGGACACAUUCCUGAAUAAGAAGAAAUUUAAAUUUUUGCUGUCGAGUAGAUUUACAAAAGAUCCUUAUAAAAUCUGUUUUCAAUGGUCAGGUUCAAAAGUCCCAUACCAGCACCACAAGAGUAGAAAUUGGGCACUGAGGGUUAUUGCUCUUUCUCUGAUCUUUAUUACUGUCACAGAUAAUAAUGAAAAUAAAAUUAAUGGGGGAAUCGCUAAGUGAAGAUGAGGAUAAGUGUUCUGAGGAAGUCGAUCACCCCCUUUGUAACGCUGUGUGUGUGAGGUGAUGAGCACCAGCCUCUCUACUAUUUGUGUGGUCACACUGUCAGGCAAGUUAUGAAGCGUCACGAACUUUGCAAAUUUUUCGAGGGGAGCCCAAUAGCAUCUAGAGAAAAUGUCUGUAUGUCUGUGAACGUACUUUUACAACUAAAAUCCUUUAAAGAGACCUCACUUAUUGAGCCACCAAGUGAGGUUUUGUGUGUAUUUCAAAAGGCACAGGUGUAGUUGAGAAGUAAACAACAACAUGUUACUCUCAGGUGAAUUGUUGCUCUCUGAUAUAGCCACUUCCGUGGUUGCAUCAGUGGAGGAGAAAGUAGUUUUCCCAGCCUGCCACAGUGUACAGGAGAAAAUAAUUCACAGGUUCCUGGCAACAAGAAUCCAUCUGCUUCUAAGGGAGGGAAAUAAGAUAUAAGGUUUAGUGAUACAAGGCAGUAGAAGUGUGGCCAUGAGGAAAGUAGUGCAGAAACUUUGAGUUCCAAAAUCACUUUUUACUCAAUGAUUUGAAAAAUUGACAUACAUUAGCAUGUUGAGACAUAAAAUCUGUGUUAAUGAUUUUUCUUCAAAUGUUCUCAUUUUUCUUUUACGUACAGUUAUUUUUAUAUUUUUGUUUUACGUUUCUUUCUCAGAGUGUGGAGUGCUUUUAUUAUCUCGUGUAAUAUUUGCUACAUUCUGCAAGUAGAGUAUACCCCUGUCAAGGGUUCAGAAUGAUGCAUAUAUAAAUAAAAACUUCAUCUUUCAACUUGUGUA